rnacentral:rRNA from 1 species
UCGGGAAUUUUGGGCAAUGGGGGAAACCCUGACCCAGCAACGCCGCGUGAAGGAUGAAGUAUUUCGGUAUGUAAACUUCGAAAGAAUAGGAAGAAUAAAUGACGGUACUAUUUAUAAGGUCCGGCUAACUCUGUGCCAGCAGCCGCGGUAAUACGUAGGGUGCAAGCGUUAAUCGGAAUUACUGGGCGUAAAGCGUGCGCAGGCGGUUGUGUAAGUCAGAUGUGAAAUCCCCGGGCUCAACCUGGGAAUUGCAUUUGAGACUGCACGGCUAGAGUGUGUCAGAGGGGGGUAGAAUUCCACGUGUAGCAGUGAAAUGCGUAGAUAUGUGGAGGAAUACCGAUGGCGAAGGCAGCCCCCUGGGAUAACACUGACGCUCAUGCACGAAAGCGUGGGGAGCAAACAGGAUUAGAUACCCCGGUAGUCCCUGAGCGGGCUGGCAAGGCGCAU